rnacentral:rRNA from 1 species
AGAAUCAACGCUGGCGGCGCGCUUAACACAUGCAAGUCGCACGAGAAAGUGGAGCAAUCCAUGAGUAAAGUGGCGCACGGGUGAGUAACACGUGACUAACCUACCCUUGAGUGGGGAAUAACUUCGGGAAACCGAGGCUAAUACCGCAUAACACCUACGGGUCAAAGGAGCAAUUCGCUUAAGGAGGGGGUCGCGGCAGAUUAGUUAGUUGGCGGGGUAAUGGCCCACCAAGACGGUGAUCUGUA